GACGAACGCUGGCGGCGUGCUUAACGCAUGCAAGUCGAACGGAAAGGCCCUGCUUUUGUGGGGUGCUCGAGUGGCGAACGGGUGAGUAACACGUGAGUAACCUGCCCUUGACUUUGGGAUAACUUCAGGAAACUGGGGCUAAUACCGGAUAGGAGCUCCUGCUGCAUGGUGGUGGUUGGAAAGUUUCGGCGGUUGGGGAUGGACUCGCGGCUUAUCAGCUUGUUGGUGGGGUAGUGGCUUACCAAGGCUUUGACGGGUAGCCGGCCUGAGAGGGUGACCAGCGACAUUGGGACUGAGAUACGGACCAGACGCGAACGGGAGGCAGCAGUGGGGAAUAUUACACAAUGGGCGGAAGCCUGAUGCAGAAAUGCCGCGUGCGGGAUGACGGCCUUCGGGUUGUAAACCGCUGUCGCCUGUGACGAAGCGUGAGUGACGGUAAUGGGUAAAGAAGCACCGGCUAACUACGUG
rnacentral:rRNA from 1 species